rnacentral:tRNA from 2 species
CGGGGUGUAGCGCAAUGGUAGCGCGCUUGGCUUGGGACCAAGAGGUUCCGGGUUCAAGUCCCGGCACCCCGA